UACGAAGGGGCUAGCGUUGUUCGGAAUUACUGGGCGUAAAGCGCGCGCAGGCGGUCCUUCAAGUCAGAGGUGAAAGCCCAGAGCUCAACUCUGGAAUGGCCUUUGAGACUAGAGGACUUGGGUACGGGAGAGGUGAGUGGAAUUCCGAGUGUAGAGGUGAAAUUCGUAGAUAUUCGGAAGAACACCAGUGGCGAAGGCGGCUCACUGGCCCGUUACCGACGCUCAGGCGCGACAGCG
rnacentral:rRNA from 1 species